rnacentral:rRNA from 1 species
CCCUUAGAUGUUCUGGGCCGCACGCGCGCUACACUGACGAUGGCAACGAGUUUUUCCUUCGCCGAAAGGUGUGGGUAAUCUUUUGAAACAUCGUCGUGCUGGGGAUAGAUCAUUGCAAUUUUUGAUCUUGAACGAGGAAUUCCUAGUAAGCGCGAGUCAUCAGCUCGCGUUGAUUACGUCCCUGCCCUUUGUACACACCUCCCGUCGCUACUACCGAUUGAAUGGUUUAGUGAGGACUCCUGAUUGGCGCCGCCGCCCCGGCAACGGAGCAGCGGACUGCCGAAAAGUUGUUCAAACUUGAUCAUUUAGAGGAAGUAAAAGUCGUAACA